CACGUAGGGCGCAAGCGUUGUCCGGAAUUAUUGGGCGUAAAGAGCUCGUAGGCGGUCACGCACGUCCGUUGUGAAAUCGCUCGGCUCAACUGGGCGGGGUCAGCGGAUACGGCGUGGCUGGAGCAAGCUAGGGGGCAAUGGAAUUCCCGGUGUAGUGGUGGAAUGCGUAGAUAUCGGGAGGAACACCAGUGGCGAAGGCGGUUGCCUGGAGCUUUGCUGACGCUGAUGCGCGAAAGCGUGGGGAGCGAUCCGG
rnacentral:rRNA from 1 species